GGAAUUCAUCGAAAAAUUAUUAAAGUACGAAACUAAUUUUACAGUUUCACAUCAAUUUCCAAGAUGUCAGCGCCCAUGAAAGGUUUAAAACAAGAGAAUAUACUGUUGGGAUUAGAAGGAUGUGUUUUCAUAUUUUCUGUAUCUGUUGUUGUCUGUCAAAUCUUCUCCAACCAAAGUUAUCUCCUGACAGGAUUUUUGAUUGGUCAGUUGUCAACUCUACUAUUUUAUCAUUUAAAUUAUAAAACAACAGAAAACUCGAUUUACAGGGUAGGGGCUGAUAAUGGUGUAUUAUGUUGUAUGUUGAUACCUAUUGCUGUUAUUGCUGACGUUAAUUCAUCCAGUACAGAUCAGCCAGGAUGUAUAAUUUUACUGUAUGUAUUAAGCAGUGGUGGACUGGGUCUGAAAAUAUUGGUUGCUAGGAGACAAAGGAGGCUCACCCACCAAUACAAUUCUAUG